UGAGAAAUAUAUCUGCGGUAAAUCACAGAGUUAUAUUUGCACCUUUUCACUAAUAAGAAUAUAAUAUUAUGUUUAAAUUUGAUCUGAAAAUACACAUGUCAUUUUCUUUUAAACAGAAUAGCUAACCUUUUUCCUUUAUUUCGCUCAAUCUCUUCCUUCCCCCUCCAUUUUCUCACAAAUUACGAUUAGCUUUACUCUGAAACUUGUCAGGUUUGUCGACUCCAUCUCGGGCAUCUGCCCAAAAAUCUCGCCACCCAAAAGUCUCACAAGAUUCCGAUGCUGAAGCUUGGCAAUGUAGAUAACUUCGUUCUUGAAUUCAUCAAGUCCUUGCAUGGAAGACCUUGAUAGUCUCUUCACAGCAAUUUCUUGUCCUUCCAGCACUCCCUAGAAAUGGCAAAAGUAUAUCAGUAGAUAGCAUUAACUGGUUACUAUUCCAAGAAUUUUGCAGUGUAUACCUUGUAUACGGGUCCAAAUCCACCCUCUCCAAUCUUGUUGUUUACUGAAAAGUUAUUUGUGGCUUUUGUUAUUGUCGAUAGUUGGAACAGUGGCAGCUCAAAAUCUUCUUUGUGUUUCAGUUUCUUCUUCUUUUUCCGUCUGUACAAGAACAGAAUCAGGCCUAGCAGACACAUUGCCAUCAACAACGAGAAAAUCAUUUAGUUGUUUAGGUAUCCCACUCCAUCGAAAACCAUUCCAUGGUCCUGCACGGACUGAUACUCUUGUGCCACGCUUGGUGAGGGCCUGUGGAUAUCCAGUAGGGUCAAUGUGACGAGUGAAUUCUCCUGGAGCUGCAUCAUUAUCGUUCUUCCAUGCUGAAAGGUAACUCUCAU